CGAAUAAAGUUGUUGCGGUUAAAAAGCUCGUAGUUGGAUUUCUGUCGAGGAUGGCCGGUCCGCACUUUGUGCGUGCAUCUGGUUCAGCCUUGGCAUCCUCCUGGGGAACGUAUCUGCGCUUAAUUGCGUGGUGCGGUAUCCAGGACUUUUACUUUGAGGAAAUUAGAGUGUUCACGGCAGGCAAACGCCUUGAAUACAUUAGCAUGGAAUAAUAAUAUAGGACCUUGGUCCCAUUUUGUUGGUUUCUGGAACUGAGGUAAUGAUUAAUAGGGAUAAUUGGGGGCACUCGUAUUAACGCGUCAGAGGUGGAAUUCUUAGAUUGCGUUACGACGAACUACUGCGAAAGCAUUUGCCAAGGAUGUUUUCAUUGAUCAAGAACGAAAGUAUGGGGAUCGAAGACGAUUAGAUACCGUCGUAGUCUAUACCAUAAACUAUGCCAACUAGAGAUUGGAGGUCGUUUUUUUUAUGACUCCUUCGGCACCUUAUGAGAAAUCAAAGUUUUUGGGUUCCGGGGGGAGUAUGGUCGCAAGGCUGAAACUUAAAG
rnacentral:rRNA from 1 species